GUAGUUCGAAUAAGAGUGGGAGGAGGGUUUUGGAGGAGAGGAGGUGAAACCCCAUCAGCUGUGAAAUGGGAGGAUAGGAUCAUAGAGGUACGGGAAGGUUCUUGGUCAUAUGUGGCUGGGUCGAUUGGGAGAGCACCUGUACAGAGAAAGUAGUAGCAACUGCGNNNNAGCAACUGCGACACCGAAAGAGCCUCCUAAAAACUGUCAAGCUUCUUGGUGUUUCUCUACAGGAGAAGAAUUUUUAGUAAGUUGGCGAUCACCAUCAACAUCAUUGUGUGACCUGAGGUUUUGUUUACUGAAUCAAACAACUCCAGAUUCGACGAUGAAAUUGUUUAAAGGGAGGAAAUUGCAAUAUCAAGUUAGGAAAACUAGAUCAGAAGACAAGGAAAUAAGUAACGAGG
rnacentral:misc_RNA from 1 species